rnacentral:rRNA from 1 species
CCUACGGGGUGCAGCAGUGGGGAAUAUUGCACAAUGGGGGAAACCCUGAUGCAGCGACGCCGCGUGAAGGAAGAAGUAUUUCGGUAUGUAAACUUCUAUCAGCAGGGAAGAAAAUGACGGUACCUGACUAAGAAGCCCCGGCUAACUACGUGCCAGCAGCCGCGGUAAUACGUCGGGGGCAAGCGUUAUCCGGAUUUACUGGGCGUUAAGGGAGCGUAGGCGGGGGUGCAAGUAAGAAGUUAAAGGCCGGGGAUCAACACCGGGACUGCUUUUGAAACUGUGUUGCUAGAUUGCAGGAGAGGUAAGUGGAAUGCCUAGUGUAGCGGUGAAAUGCGUAGAUAUUAGGAAGAACGCCGGUGGCGAAGGCAGCUUACUGGACUGUAAAUGACGCUGAGGCUCGAAAGCGUGGGGAGCAAACAGGAUUAGAUACCCGUGUAGUC